GACGAACGCUGGCGGCGUGCUUAACACAUGCAAGUCGAACGGAAAGGCCCUGCUUUGGUGGGUUGCUCGAGUGGCGAACGGGUGAGUAACACGUGAGUAACCUGCCAUUGACUUUGGGAUAACGUCAGGAAACUGUGAUUACUACCGGAUAUGAUCUCCUGCUGCAUGGGGGUGGUUGGAAAGUUUCGGCGGUUGGGGAUGGACGCCCGGCUUAUCAGCUUGUUGGUGGGGUAGUGGCUUACCAAGGCUUGGACGGUUAGCCGGCUUGAGAGGGGGACCGGCAACAUGGGGAUUGGGAUCGGGCCCAGACUCCACCGGGGGGCAGCAGUGGGGAUUAUGCAACAUGGGCGGGAACCUGAUGGAAGAAACGCGGGGGGCGGGAUGCCGGCCUUCGGGUGGUAAACCGUUUUAGCAGGGGAGGAAGCUGGAGUGACGGUAAUUGGUAAAGAAGCACCGGCUAACUACGUG
rnacentral:rRNA from 1 species